UUACGGCCAUAUCAUACUGAAACCUCAUUUCCCGUACGAUCACCGAAGUUAAGCCAAGUCGACCCUCUUCAGUACCUAGAUAGAUGACCGCUUUGGAAUGCCAGGUGCCGUAA